UUUCUACAUCAGUCUGUGCAGAAGGAGCUUAGGCCCAGAAUCCUGCAUGGAGAGCUUUCCAGCACCUGUGACAAGCCUCAGCUGGCCUGCUGGAUAAUAAACCCAUGUGGAUGGAGAGAGGUCCCUUAUCCCCACCAAACCUGUUGAUGCUACAGAGAUGUAAAGGAGCCCACCUGAGAAAAGCUGAACCUGCCUAGUGCAUAAAGACCACCCAGAGACGGAGUCUUUCUCGGUCGCCCAGGCUGGAGUACAGUGGCGUGAUCUC